GACGAACGCUGGCGGCGUGCUUAACACAUGCAAGUCGAACGCUGAAGCUUGGUGCCUGCACUGGGUGGAUGAGUGGCGAACGGGUGAGUAAUACGUGAGUAACCUGCCCUUGACUCUGGGAUAAGCCUGGGAAACUGGGUCUAAUACUGGAUACGACAUGUCACCGCAUGGUGGUGUGUGGAAAGGGUUUUACUGGUUUUGGAUGGGCUCACGGCCUAUCAGCUUGUUGGUGGGGUAAUGGCUCACCAAGGCGACGACGGGUAGCCGGCCUGAGAGGGUGACCGGCCACACUGGGACUGAGACACGGCCCAGACUCCUACGGGAGGCAGCAGUGGGGAAUAUUGCACAAUGGGCGAAAGCCUGAUGCAGCGACGCCGCGUGAGGGAUGACGGCCUUCGGGUUGUAAACCUCUUUCAGCACGGAAGAAGCGAAAGUGACGGUACGUGCAGAAGAAGCGCCGGCUAACUACGUG
rnacentral:rRNA from 1 species